AACAUUUUGGGUGUCAUUGGAUCUGCCCAAUCAUGAAGCCCUAGUAGCAGAGUGUCUUAUAAGCUUGGACCAGCUGCAGAGCAUAUUUUUGCUCUGGGCCCACUCAAAACUGACAGUUUCACAGUAAGUAGGUCAACCCAGCACAUUUAAAUGUAUUUUAUGUUGUCACCGGAAGCCUCCCUUUUUCAGUGAAAAAAAUGGUCCUUCAGACAUAGGAGUUAGUCAACUUCACUGGUAAAUAUAUAUGCAUGGGUCCAUAUUUGUGUAUAACUGUUGUUUCAUAAUCUAAUAAGUUUAAAAAAAAAUAAUCUAAUAAGUUUAAAGCAAUUUGUAUAUGGUAUUUAAUAAUUCCUUCAAAAUGAGUCACCAAUAUAGUUUAGUCUAGUUAAAGGUAAAAAUCCCAUGAUACACUAAGUUUUAUUUUAAAGUCUUAGUACAUCAGCAACAUGUUAUUGAAUACUUUGGCCAUUUUCAUUUAUCAUUUCUCUUGUUUCUAUCAUUAGGCACUGUUUGAAGAAUGUAUCAUUGCAUGAAACUAGCAAAUGAUUAAUAAGACUUCAAUUUGGGGAAAUUAAAGAAAUAAGUCAGCAUGCAAACUAUCAUUGCCUCAUCUGGUCUCAAUCGUGCAUGCCUAAGUUAUGAUAUAUGUAUCAUUUUAUCUGGAUUUAUAUUCCUCAUUACUGAAAAAAAUUAAAAAGUGAAAAAAACUAUUCAGAAAGAUUGCAUAUGUUAACAAAUAUUAUGUAAAGAGAAUUCUCUAUUGAUUAUUGAUAGCACAGAUUGAUGCAUUUAUCCUUUAGGAUUGAAGUCAUUAGUCUUGUUAAUGAAAAGGAAAUAAACAGCUGGCUUUUACUCAAACCUGAAAGAUCUGACAAUAUACAAAUUAAAGAUGACUUUGAAAGAGGAAAGGCCACAAUCCUAUUACAACUAAUCAUUUUUACAUAUUGAUCUCCUGAUCUCUUCUCAUUCUCCUCAUAUGCAUACAUGUUUUUUACAUUAUUCAUUAAUUCAUUCAACAAGCAUUUACUAAGUCUGCAUUAUUGUAAAGCACACGCACAAUUUUGUCUUGUGCUUUUUGAACUGAAUAUGUACUAUAUAUUUUUAUCAUAACCCUACCAAUGUUGACUUUUUAAGCAUCAUGGUACUAAAAUUUAAAUGUUAUGGGGAUCUAGGUUUUUCAGUUUUCACCUUUACAAAUAACUCUUCCUGACAAGGCAGUAUGAUGUGGUGACUGAGGUUUUGUUCUGGAACUAGACAGAUCUGAGUCUAAUGUCUGGAUUCAUCCCUUAACCAUGAGAGCUGGGGAAAAUUAACCUCUUCAUUCUCCUCAUUUGUGGCAUGGUGAUAAGAGUACUAUUUCUGUCACUGUUUUGAGGAUUAAAUGACACAUGCUUGUUUAUGGAAUAAAUGGAAUGCUUAAAACAGUGCUUACCACUAAAUACAUAUAGCUCGUGUUGUUUUUAUUCAUAUCUCUAUAUUGUAGCCUGUGAAAGUGCUUUUAAUUCCUCAUGGUUCAUCUCAAAUGCUGUCUCCUUCAUUAAGCUUUUCCUGAUCUUUCCAAUUGGAUGUGCUUGUCCAUCAUCAGCCUGUCAAAACAUUGUGUUUGUAUUGUUUUUCUAGCACUUGACACUUUGUGCUUUGGUUUCAAAAUGUAUGUGCAUUUCUCAUAACCACAUUGUCAGAUGACAAACUCCUUGACCACAUCUUGCUAAACCUUCGCUUUGACUAUGGCACUUAGUACGGCCUUGCAGAUUAAAUAGAUGCUCAGUAAAUAUUUACUAAGUUGAAUAUAUCUGUAGGUUGUGACUAUUUUCUACAGGUAUAAAAACAAGAUUACAAACAUAUGAUAAAUUUUCAAUUAAAACUAUUUCAACUUUCAAGUGAUUUUAGUUUUUAAUUGCAGAUGGUCUAUUCCUUUGCAUACUACUUAUGUCUGAUUUAGAAACUAUUUUCCUCUACCAAGUCCUACCUUGUCCUUGGAUGAUUUCACUACUUUUUUAAAAUUUUACUGACCAUUUGCAAUUUUUAAUUCAGGAUAAGUUUAUGUUUCUCAUGGAAACCUAUGUCAUCUGGCCCAGUUACAACUAUUUUGGUUCCUCAAAUAAGUGAAUGUUCCUUUUCUUAGGGUCUCCAAACAAAUACAUGUUUCCAAAAAUCUUCUUCUAAUAUUCCGACUUACCAAUUAUCACUUACUUCUUUGUCGAUUCAGUUAUGCUAUAUUUUUUGCACAAAGUACCAGAAUUAUGUUGUUCUGACCACAGAUUACCCCUCUCUGUAUACAAGUAUUUGUAAUAUUUAUGAUGGUGUUAAUUAAACUCAUGAACUAGUUUUCAUGUACCUAUUCUGUAUCUAUAUGAAAGACCUAAAAUGAAAAAUGACUUACAGCUCUUUAAUCUUGACUUGAAUCCCAAAACUUUCUCUUUAAAUCAACAUGUUCACCAUAAGAAAUAUCAUCAUAAAAUAAUUUAAGCACAUGAAGCAAUCUGAUUGGCCUCCUGCCAUCGGUUU
rnacentral:lncRNA from 1 species